UGGCGAGUGGCGAACGGGUGAGUAUAUAUCGGAACGUGCCCUGGAGUGGGGGAUAACUAGUCGAAAGACUAGCUAAUACCGAUACGAUCUACGGAUGAAAGUGGGGGAUCACCUCAUGCUCGUGGAGCGGCCGAUAUCUGAUUAGCUAGUUGGUGGGGUAAAAGCCUACCAACAUCGAUCAGUAGGGUCUGAGAGGACGACCAGCCACACUGGGACUGAGACCGGCAGACUCCUACGGGAGGCAGCAGUGGGGAAUUUUGGACAAUGGGGGCAACCCUGAUCCAGCAAUGCCGCGUGAGUGAAGAAGGCCUUCGGGUUGUAAAGCUCUUUUGUCAGGGAAGAAACGGUCCGGGCUAAUAUCCUGGGCUAAUGACGGUACCUGAAGAAUAAGCACCGGCUAACUACGUGCCAGCAGCCGCGGUAAUACGUAGGGUGCAAGCGUUAAUCGGAAUUACUGGGCGUAAAGCGUGCGCAGGCGGUUGUGCAAGACAGAUGUGAAAUCCCCGGGCUUAACCUGGGAAUUGCAUUUGUGACUGCACGGCUAGAGUGUGUCAGAGGGGGGUAGAAUUCCACGUGUAGCAGUGAAAUGCGUAGAGAUGUGGAGGAAUACCGAUGGCGAAGGCAGCCCCCUGGGAUAACACUGACGCUCAUGCACGAAAGCGUGGGGACAAACAGGAUUGAUACCCUGGUAGUCCACGCCCUAAACGAUGUCAACUAGUUGUCGGGUCUUAAUUGUGGUAACGCAGCUAACGCGUGAAGUUGACCGCCUGGGGAGUACGGUCGCAAGAUUAAAACUCAAAGGAAUUGACGGGGACCCGCACAAGCGGUGGAUGUGUGGAUUAAUUCGAUGCAACGCGAAAAACCUUACCUACCCUUGACAUGGCAGGAAUCCUGGAGAGAUCUAGGAGUGCUCGAAAGAGAACCUGCACACAGGUGCUGCAUGGCUGUCGUCAGCUCGUGUCGUGAGAUGUUGUUAAGUCACGAGCGCAACCCUUGUCAUUAGUUGCUACGAAAGGGCACUCUAAUGAGACUGCCGGUGACAAACCGGAGGAAGGUGGGGAUGACGUCAAGUCCUCAUGGCCCUUAUGGGUAGGGCUUCACACCAUACAAUGGUACAUCAGAGGGCCGCCAACCCGCGAGGGGGAGCUAAUCCGAAAGUGUAUCGUAGUCCGGAUGGAGUCUGCAACUCGACUCCAUAGUUGGAAUCGCUAGUAAUCGCGGAUCAGCAUGUCGCGGUGAAUCGUUCCCGGGUCUUGUACACACCGCCCGUCACACCAUGGGAGCGGGUUUUACCAGAAGUAGGUAGCUAACCGCAAGGAGGGCGCU
rnacentral:rRNA from 1 species